rnacentral:ncRNA from 1 species
UUAUGCAGCGUGCUGUCGAGCGGUUUGAUAAACAGGCUAUUAUUGUUCAGCGCGACGUUACCCGUGGCCUUCACCAGCUCGCCAUCCAGCGGGAUAUCAAGAUGUAAGCGAGCGCUCACGUCGCCAUCAAGCUGGAGCUCUUCGAGGGUCGCCCCCAGUGAUUUGUCGAGCGGCGUCUGCUGGAAAUACGGGCCAACCGCUUUACCAGGACCGUUAAUAUCGGCAUCAAUCAGCAGCUUCUCUUUGGCAUAGUCUGGAAUCGACGCAUUCAGGUUGCUGGCGGUCACGCCGCCAAGCGCCGCUUUAUCCGCCUUCAUCCACAGGCCAGCAUUGAUAAAGUUAAGCUCGAUAUUCAGAUUGGUCAGCGCCGGCCAGUCCGGCUGGAAGGCAAAGGUCGCAUCGUGCAGCGGCAC